rnacentral:rRNA from 1 species
AUUGAACGCUGGCGGCAUGCCUUACACAUGCAAGUCGAACGGUAACAGGUCUUCGGAUGCUGACGAGUGGCGAACGGGUGAGUAAUACAUCGGAACGUGCCUAGUAGUGGGGGAUAACUACUCGAAAGAGUGGCUAAUACCGCAUGAGAUCUACGGAUGAAAGCAGGGGAUCGCAAGACCUUGCGCUACUAGAGCGGCCGAUGGCAGAUUAGGUAGUUGGUGGGAUAAAAGCUUACCAAGCCGACGAUCUGUAGCUGGUCUGAGAGGACGAUCAGCCACACUGGGACUGAGACACGGCCCAGACUCCUACGGGAGGCAGCAGUGGGGAAUUUUGGACAAUGGGCGCAAGCCUGAUCCAGCAAUGCCGCGUGCAGGACGAAGGCCUUCGGGUUGUAAACUGCUUUUGUACGGAACGAAAAGACUCUGGUUAAUACCUGGGGUCCAUGACGGUACCGUAAGAAUAAGCACCGGCUAACUACGUGCCAGCCGCCGCGGUAACAC